rnacentral:tRNA from 1 species
GCCCGUGUUGUGUAACCGGAUAGCACGUCCGACUAGCAUUCGGGAGAUCUGGUGUUCGAAUCUCGACGAGAGCG